GAGGGGGAAGUGAAACAUCACAGUCAGUUUCGACCUGAUAAAUGGCACCACAAUGCCCCCCCUUA
rnacentral:tRNA from 1 species